rnacentral:rRNA from 1 species
AUGGUGAGAAAGAAUAAAAACCGUCACUCAAGUGGUGGUCGCGGAGGCAGGAUAGGUUCUGGGCCAUCAAGUACAGUCUCAUGCUCGAUUCCUGAACUCCAAAAAUUUGUUCCCGGCGAAAGCUUAAAGCGCCCUGGAUUCGUUUCUGCUGGUGAAAGCUAUAUUGUGAAGGCAAACCAUUUUAAACUAACUUAUAAUGAAACUCUUUGCCGAUAUCAUGUAUUAAUAGAUCCUAAGCCUACUUCAGCUGGUGAUGUCAUGAUACAACUUGCAAAGCUGUAUGGGCAAUCACGUUUGGGUGGUCGUCUUCCUGCAUAUGAUGGAAAGAAAAGCUUAUAUACAUCUCGUCCAUUUCCAUUUACUUGUGAGGCUUUUAAAGUAACACUACCUGACCAGGAAAAUAUUCUUUGUGGCCUCCCAAGGGGUAAGAGACAUUUUAGGGUCCAGAUAACAUUGGAUAAAGUUUUGUUCGGACGAAUUGAUGGUGAAGAAUUCUAUCAAGCAUUUAAUACUAUUCUACAUGAAUUGUUCCUUGGAAGGUAUUGCCUAGUUGGCCGGUCAUUUUAUAAAUCUCAACCUGGCGAGGGCUUGAAAAACUGCUGUGGUUUUUAUCAGACAAUACAAAACACACAGAUGGGAAUUUCAUUAAAUAUCGAUAUAUCCUGUAAACCAUUCAUCAAUCCUCUACCUGUGAUCAAUUUAGUUGCACUGCUUCUGAACAGGGACAUAUCAGAUGACCCCUUUGACUUUUGUGAACGGUUGAAGGUAAGUAAAGAUCUGUGUGAUGUAGAAGUUAAUUUCACACUUGAAAAAAAUGCGGACAAGAAAUAUCGUAUAACUGGCCUUACGUCACAAGGGUCAAGCCAACUACCUUGCCCAUGUGAUGAUAGUGGUACUGGGAAGACAGUAUUAGAGUACUUCAAGGAAACAUAUCGAUGUACUAUUCGGUCUCGUGUACCAUGUUUGAAAGUUCGUGAUCAAGAGAAGCCAACAACUUACCUACCAAUGGAGGUCUGUGAGAUUUCUGACGCAAAACAGAUAUCGUAUCUUCUUAGUGUCGCUUGCCAGCACCCUAUGGACCGUGAGAAGACCAUUUUACAGACAGUGAACCCAUACAAUGAGGACCCGUAUGCAAAGGAAUUUGGCAUAACUUUUGAGAACAAACUCACAAUAGUCAAGGGUCGUGUGCUACCUCCUCCUGUGCUCAAAUUUAAUGACCAAGGCAAAGUGAAGGAAUUCUUGCCAAAAGUUGGCAAGUGGAAUAUGCGGCUUAAGCAAAUGGUCAAGGGAGGAGAAGUUAACACCUGGGCAUGCAUUAACUUCGCUUCAGAUAUCACGCAUGCUGCUGCUGUGGCUUUCUGUGAUGAGUUGGCUGUGACGUGCCUAAUCUCUGGAAUGAACUUUAAGGGUGACCCUGUGCUCCCUCUAGUGAAUGCUAAACCUAAUCAUGUACGACCGUUUCUCAAGAAACAUUACCAACGUUUCAUGGCAAUACUCAGACCACUGCACAAAGAACUUGACCUGCUGAUUGUAAUACUGCCCGACAAGAAUGGCACUCUUUAUGGUGAUAUCAAAAGAAUAUGUGAGACAGAUCUUGGGCUAGUCUCUCAAUGUUGUCUUGCAAAGCAUGUUUUAAAGAUGAAACCACAAUAUCUUACAAAUAUUGCCCUUAAAAUCAACAUGAAGGUGGGGGGAAGAAAUACUGUACUUCUUGAUGCUGUGGUAGGGAAUCUCCCACGUGUUAGUAACACACCAACUAUUAUAUUUGGUGCCGAUGUCAGUCAUCCUCAUCAUGGAGAAGGACGUUCUAGUCCUUCUAUUGCAGCUGUUGUAGCUUCUCAAGACUGGCCGGAGGUUACCAACUAUGCUGGAUUAGUCCGGCGGCAAGCCCGUCAUGAAGAGAUUAUACAAGGCCUUUUUAACGAAAAUGAUUGUGGAAGUGGACGUAUAUCUGGUGGAAUGAUCAAAGAGCACCUCAUUUCUUUCAUGAGGUCGACUGGACAUAUACCCCGGAGGAUCAUAUUUUACAGGGAUGUUGUCAGCAAAGGACGGCUCAAUAUGGUUAUUGAGCAUGAACUUUCUGCCAUUAAAAAGGCAUGUGCGUCGCUGGAUCCUAUUUAUAAUCCACAAGUUACCAUUAUUAUGGUUCAGAAACAGCACCACACACGUUUGUUCGCUGGUAACUAUGGUGUUGGGAGCACAAUUUUUGAAAGUGGAAAUGUAUUGCCAGGUACUGUGGUUGAUAAAGAAAUAUGCCAUCCCACUGACUUUGAUUUUUACUUGUGUAGCCAUGCUGGCACUAAGGGAGUCAGCCGGCCUGUUCGUUAUCAUGUUCUCUGGGACGAGAACAAUUUUAUGGCCAACGCUUUGCUAAUUCUCACUAACCAUCUAUGCUAUACGGACGCGAGGUGCACCUCUUCUGUUUCAAUUGUGCCUCCUGUUCACUAUGCCCAUCUUUUGGCAUCGCGGGCUCGGCUCUAUAUUGGGUACAAGGGAAACCUACCUGAUAUCAAGGACAAUGUGAAAAAACGUGGCAUGUUCUUCUGCUAA